GCGGGUGUGGCGGAAUUGGCAGACGCACAAGAUUUAGGUUCUUGCGCUGCAAAGCGUGCAGGUUCAAGUCCUGUCACCCGCACCA
rnacentral:tRNA from 3 species